rnacentral:rRNA from 1 species
GCAUAUCAAUAAGCGGAGGAAAAGAAACCAACCGGGAUUGCCUCAGUAACGGCGAGUGAAGCGGCAAGAGCUCAAAUUUGAAAGCUGGCCCCUUCGGGGUCCGCAUUGUAAUUUGCAGAGGAUGCUUCGGGUGCAGCCCCCGUCUAAGUGCCCUGGAAUGGGCCGUCAGAGAGGGUGAGAAUCCCGUCUGGGAUGGGGUGCCUGUGCCCGUGUGAAGCUCCUUCGACGAGUCGAGUUGUUUGGGAAUGCAGCUCUAAAUGGGUGGUAAAUUUCAUCUAAAGCUAAAUAUUGGCCGGAGACCGAUAGCGCACAAGUAGAGUGAUCGAAAGAUGAAAAGCACUUUGAAAAGAGAGUUAAACAGCACGUGAAAUUGUUGAAAGGGAAGCGCUUGCGACCAGACUCGCCUCCGGGGUUCAGCCGGCAUUCGUGCCGGUGUACUUCCCCGGGGGCGGGCCAGCGUCGGUUUGGGCGGCCGGUCAAAGGCCUCCGGAAUGUAGCGCCCUUCGGGGCGCCUUAUAGCCGGGGGUGCAAUGCGGCCAGCCUGGACCGAGGAACGCGCUUCGGCUCGGACGCUGGCAUAAUGGUCGUAAACGACCCGUCUUGAAACACGGACCAAGGAGUCUAACAUCUACGCGAGUGUUCGGGUGUCAAACCCGUACGCGCAGUGAAAGCGAACGGAGGUGAGAGCCCCCCCGUGGGGCGCAUCAUCGACCGAUCCUGAAGUCUUCGGAUGGAUUUGAGUAAGAGCGUAGCUGUGGGGACCCGAAAGAUGGUGAACUAUGCCUGAAUAGGGCGAAGCCAGAGGAAACUCUGGUGGAGGCUCGCAGCGGUUCUGACGUGCAAAUCGAUCGUCAAAUUUGGGUAUAGGGGCGAAAGACUAAUCGAACCAUCUGGUAGCUGGUUCCUGCCGA